GACGAACGCUGGCGGCGUGCCUAAUACAUGCAAGUCGAACGCAGUGGGGACGGGUGAGUAACAAGUGGGUAACCUCCCAUCAGAGGGGAUAACACUUGGAAACAGGUGCUAAACCGAUACUGAUGGAUGGACCCGGGGUGCAUUAGCCAGUUGGUGGGGUAACGGCUCACCAAGGCCACGAUGCAUAGCCGACCUGGGAGGAGGAUCAGCCACACGGGGACUGAGACACGGCCCAGACUCCUACGGGAGGCAGCAGUAGGGAAUAUUCGGCAAUGGGCGAAAGUCUGACCAAGCCACGCCGCGUGAGUGAAGAAGGUUUUCGGAUCGUAAAACUCUGUUGUUGGGGAAGCGGUAUCUGACCAAAAAGCCACGGCUAACUACGUGCCAGCAGCCGCGGUAAUAC
rnacentral:rRNA from 1 species